AAAAUUAAAAAUAAUAGAAAACCUACUGAAAAUUGUAUCUGAGAAGAAAUCAUUGGAGCAAGAAAAUACAUCUAAUCUUGAAAUGCAGCCUUCAUCAGAGAGUGGCCAGAGGAGUUCCAAAAGGCAGAGAAAGGCUGAGCAUCCAAGUCGUUUUCCUAUUGAAGCUAAUACUUCUUCAACAACAAAUACUAAUGUCAGUUUAGCCAAUGUUGUGUACUGCAAAAAUUUGGCUUGCAGAGCUAAAUUAAGUGGCCAAGAUG
rnacentral:misc_RNA from 1 species